rnacentral:rRNA from 1 species
AAAGAGUAAGUGACUAUUUGUGUAUCUAAGUACUGUGAAGGAAAUAAAUAUGAAACUGAAUUAUGGGCUAUAACAAGCACCUAAAACUGCAUUUUGUUGUUUACAAAAUAAUGAAUUUUAUUGCGCCUUCUGUGCCAACAUGAGUACGAGCGCAUUUGAUGUUGUUUCAGUGGAUUUAUAUGCACUACUCCCCAAUACCUGCGUUUUAUAUAAAAAAAAAUAUUAUA